CAACUACGUGCCAGCAGCCGCGGUAAGACGUAGGGCGCGAGCGUUGUCCGGAUUUAUUGGGCGUAAAGAGCUCGUAGGCGGCUUGUUGCGUCGUCCGUGAAAACCUGGGGCUCAACUGCAGGCUUGCGGUCGAUACGGGCAGGCUAGAGUUCGGUAGGGGAGACUGGAAUUCCUGGUGUAGCGGUGAAAUGCGCAGAUAUCAGGAGGAACACCGGUGGCGAAGGCGGGUCUCUGGGCCGACACUGACGCUGAGGAGCGAAAGCGUGGGGAGCGAACAGGAUUAGAUACCCUGGUAGUCCACGCUGUAAACGUUGGGCGCUAGGUGUGGGGGGCCUCUCCGGUUUCCUGCGCCGUAGCUAACGCAUUAAGCGCCCCGCCUGGGGAGUACGGCCGCAAGGCUAAAACUCAAAGGAAUUGACGGGGGCCCGCACAAGCGGCGGAGCAUGCGGAUUAAUUCGAUGCAACGCGAAGAACCUUACCUGGGUUUGACAUGGCCGUUAAACCCGUAGAGAUGCGGUGUCCUUCGGGGGCGGU
rnacentral:rRNA from 1 species